rnacentral:ncRNA from 1 species
CGCGCAGGACGACCUGCGUGUGCCUGCCAAACCCGGGGACGACCCCG